rnacentral:rRNA from 1 species
AGUGAACGCUGGCGGCAGGCCUAAUACAUGCAAGUCGAACGGCAGCACAGCAGAGCUUGCUCUGUGGGUGGCGAGUGGCGGACGGGUGAGGAAUACGUGGGAAUCUGCCCAGUCGUGGGGGAUAACGUAGGGAAACUUACGCUAAUACCGCAUGCGCCCUUCGGGGGAAAGCCGGGGGACCUUCGGGCCUGGCGCGAUUGGAUGAGCCCACGUCGGAUUAGCUAGUUGGCGGGGUAAAGGCCCACCAAGGCGACGAUCCGUAGCUGGUCUGAGAGGAUGAUCAGCCACACUGGAACUGAGACACGGUCCAGACUCCUACGGGAGGCAGCAGUAGGGAAUAUUGGACAAUGGGCGCGAGCCUGAUCCAGCCAUGCCGCGUGAGUGAAGAAGGCCCUCGGGUUG